UCUACAUAUGGGCUAAACAAAUAAACUGUGUUAACUGAGUGAUUAUGUUAAAAUGACCAGAUGGAUUUCUGUGGAGGGAUAUGGGUCAGUGAGGAUCCCAUUACAUAUUGGUGCUGUUUCAGAUCAGGGGCAAAUCACUUGUUUUUAAUAUUGUGAAAUAUUUUAGCAGUUUUUUUUUUCAGAGAACAAUUCAUGGAUCUUGAUAAACAAAAACAUAUUUAGGAGUGUACAGCUGCAGUGCAUUGGUGCAGUUUGAUUGAAUUUGAAUUACAUUUUUUCUAUUUUAUGAUUUGAUCAAUGAUCACUCCACAUAUAAUUUUUUUUUACAGUACUGUAUUUUUCACAAUACUUUAUCACAGUUGAAAUUCAUGCCUUGUUUUCAGGUUUUCAAAAAAAAAUUAUUCGUAUGACUUGAAAUACAUAAAAUAUGAYUUAAAUAGUAUGAAUAAUAUCAUGUAAUCCAACAAAGAUUAAGUAAAAUCUCAUGCUAUAAAAUGUAUAAUUACUGACGACAAAACACCUUCUGCAUCUCAGUCAACCAGCUACACUUCCACCAGUAGAGGGCAGAACAGCACCAGGAAAUAACUGAAAUCCAAGCAACAGCAUCAUCCACCACAGCUUUUUAAAACCCUGAGUCACACACACACACACACAAUGACCUUUGACCCCAUCCAGGUGGAGUUUACAGGAAGUGUGUCAGGUAAAAUAUCUUCUACAAAUUAAACUCACCUCAGUUCACUGAACCAUGAAAAUGUCCAAUGUGAUGAAACUCGUCUCAACUGCAACAAAAAUCAAAGAGAAGCAAUUUGAUAUCAGAAGGCACAAAAAGUCUGAAUAUUAUGAAUAUGGCAGUAUAUUCRAUUAACAUAUCAUUCAAUUCAAUUCAAUGUUAUUUGUAUAGCRCCAAAUAUAUACCAUAUACUUUGAAAAUCUUGAUUUGCAGUGAUUAAUGUUGACAAGGAAAUAUUUCAGAUUUAAAGGUUCUUUCCAAAUCCAAAUUGUUUUUCAAUGUUUCCUCCAAAGUUGCUCGAUUUUACCAUUAAAAGAAAAUAAGCAGCUUCUAGCUCAGUGACGAUUUGUAAACAGUGUUUGUGAAUUUUAUUUGUCAGAAUUCAUGGGUCUAAUGUUGUGUCCACAUACUUUUGUCCUUAUCUUGUAUCUACACACUCGUUUAUCAACCAGAUUUCUCUGGCUCUCCUCAUCAGGUGGUGAACCUCAUCACAGUAUGCCGAGAGUCGCCCGUGUCAUCUGGUCGACCCCCCCCCCACACACACACACACUCACUCACACACACAUGCAGAGUGAGAGAGUGUUGUGGCCCAGCUGGGUAAACGAGCUGCUCGCUCUCUCUCUCUGAGGUAUUUGGUUGGUUAUGGAUCCCUGAGGGACGACGCUGCCUCCUGUGUGCAGAGGAUCCUUGCCAGGCCCUCGGUUGAAGUGUGUGUGUGUGUGUUGGAGAGAGAGAGAGAUACUUUGGCUGCUCACGACCACUAUGUAUGUUUAUGUGUGGAUGCAAUCACACUGACAUUUUUUUUUUCUCCUGUCGCACGGAACACACUUUUCAAAGCAACACACCUAAAAUUGAUCUGAACGUUCCAAAGUCAGAAGGUGAGGAGUGGGAGAAUUAGAAUCUUGUGAGGCUGGAAAGAUUUUACUGAGAGCAGACUGACUUUUCUUCAGAGCAGAUGCAGUUCUCCCUUAAACGUAACUCGAGUAUUUAACAACAUAUUCCAAGUUGAGCAGACGYGUAAUCGUGCUGAGAUAAAAUGUCGUUUUUGCUAAGAGGUWGUUAACUGUCACUCGAGCUGCCGCUGAUUCAGCAGCAUGUUAAAGACCACCCCCUGAAACAGCAACUUGUUUUGUCUCUUUCUCCUUAAGAAUGCCCCACUGUCCCCUAGACCUCAUUCACUCCAGGGCAACACCGAUCUAUAAUGUGGAAGAUUACAGCACAUCACUUAGCAAUGCAGUUGAUUGGAAAAAAUUAGACUUUAUAAACUGUCAAUGAAGAUCUUUUCCCAUUUGGGGUUUUUAAGCAUCAGGUGGUGUUUUGUCACUGUUAAGAGAAAUCCUGCAUCACAUCCUGUUCUUCAUUUUUUUUGCCAAAGCUUGAGUUUAACGUCCCCAAGUUCAAACUCCUAAAACAUGUUUGUAGUUACAGUUUCAUCCUAAAACACGUCCUGUAUAUUUUGGCGUUUUCACCCCCUCUGUCACAUUUCUCCUCACUUUCACACAGAAGCAAACCUGACGGAGACAAAUGCAAAUUCUGUUGUUCUCCAUUUUUAAUUGUGUGUUGAUCAUUUUGCAAAUGUAAUAAAUCUACUUUUCUCCUCACACUCGCAGCUCGAAAUUUCCAGCUCUUAGUUUCGGUUUCUGCCUGUCUUUUUCUGGCUCCAACAACUUUGUUCCAUUUCUCAUUCUCUGGCAUAAUUACAGCAUUCUCCAAUGCUCRGGCAUGCUGUAGAUACCCCCUCCUCCUUUUCUUUCCUUCUUUUUUUUGUGUUUUUUGGUUUGGCUCUCAUUAAUAAUUCACAGAAAGAGACUGGGAAAUUUUAGUGCAAUUUGCAGCUGCUGAAUCCCAGUUAUUGUUUUGCAGGGUGUUGCACAGAGAGAGCAAACCUCGGAUGAAGGCUUUGUAGUCCUGAAUGUAAUUUGGCUACGUCUCUAUGACAGRCCACACAUCAUUAGGGGGCUGAAGGAGAUGUGGGGGGGUAACGGCUCCGUCCAACCAGUCAAACACACUGUCCUCAUCUGUCUCUCCAAACCCCCGACGCUCCGUGUUUCCUUAAUGCUUUGAGAUGCUGUUUGUUCAUAUUUAUGCCUCAUAACUAUCUAUGUUUUAUUCCGUUUGUUUGCAUUCGACCAGGCAGCCGCUGAAUUAUUCAGAUUGGGCCGAGCGGCUUCGCAAAGAUGACAACGGGAAACUUUUUGGCUGCUUUUCUUCCAAAAUGCAAGACCAGACGCAACUUGAAAGAGGAGCAGUGGCUUUGUCAACCAAGUUUCUUUUUAGGGCAUCCUGGUGACCUAGUGAUUAAGAUGCGUAAACCACAACUACAACAGCUGGAAUCGGACUGUUUCUAUGCACCAUCCACCAAGAGAAGAGUCCAGAAGACACCAGGUCUCAGAGGAAAAAGCAAGAAACAAUAUCAAACUCUUUUUUCCUCUCCCUAUUUUGCCAGGCCUGACCUAUUUUGCACAGAGUAUCUCAUAACCGGAGAGUUUAGGGCUGUUUAAUGCUAGGUGACACAGCAGUGUCCUGCAGUCUUUUCUUUCUUAAUCCCUGGCAUCUUUGGUAAAAGAUCUCUCAGAAGAAACAGCGCUCCUUUCUGGCAUCCAGCCGCCGGAGGGAAGGGGAGAUUGUCAGGGUGCAUUUCUCCAGUGCUCGCCAGCCACUCCUCAGGAGGGUUGUUGGUGUGUGUGGGUAAAUCUCCCCCUUUUUUUGUUGGCGAGUUAGGUAAAUUGAGGGGGGAGGAGGGGAAGAAGAAAGAGAGGUGGCAGCUUUUCCCCCAUGGAGAACAAUUCCACCUAAAGCUGUUUUUGGAAAUUACAGGAAUGUUUCUCUUGUAUUGCUCUUGUCACCUUGCCUCCAACAUGGCCGCAAACAAACUAAAGUGAAACUCAGUGAUGCGUUUCCUCCAGAGUGGUGGAGGAAGGAGGAAGAAAAGGAGGAGGAUGCCCUGCGGGCUGGUGUUUCGUGYCAUCCUCUGAUAGCGGAUUUUGUUUGGAGGGAUGUUGAACUCGAGCGCCGACUGCGUGUCCAGUAAUCUCACUGACCUCGCUGCCCAGCCGCCGAGGAGAAAACAGUSUGAGGCUGCUGGCCAUUGUGAAUCCAGGACCGGCUGUAAUCCACGUCUUACUCUGGGAAAUGUGGGUGUCGACGUCUCCAAAAAUGUGCUCAGAUUUAAAACUACAUAGAAAUGUUGCAACCCUUGUCUUMUAGUUUGGCCAAGAUCUGUGUUGAAUACUCAGUGUGACUAGAGAUGCUGUCAGUACUCUGUGUCCAUGAAUAAUAUCCCAUGUUUGUGUUCACAGCUGCAUUUUAGUUCAAACCAACAUGAAUGAGGUAAAACAAUGCAAUUCAUAGUUUUUUUUUGUAUAAUUUAAAUUGUGUGUUAUGUUUGAGCCUCUCAUUGUCUCUAUCUCUCUCUGCAGGGAUCUCUGACAAUUAUUAUCAUUAUUAUUAAAUGAGUCUUUGAAGGAUCAACUGAAUUGGGUCAAACCUAAAGAGUCAUUCGUUUUAACAACAGAGAAAUUCGGCAACAAACUUUGCUCAAAUACACCGAAUUCUGGUUCUGAAAAAAAGCUAAGGAUAGAAGUCAGUCCCUCACGUGCUGAGUCAUAAAGUUCCUGUWAUGUUCUGCUGAGACCAGCUCACUUUCUUUCAUAUGCAGUUUGGCUGGUGCUGUAUCUAAAACACACAUUGCUGACCUGAGGUUUGAUCCCUGAAUUAGAUUCUUCAAWCAUAAAGAAGUUUGUCUGCUGCCUUUUCUUGAUUGGGGAAGUAUGACAGAGCAUMUGAGGUGGUAACUGCUACUAGUGGGACAAAAUGUAAAGGAAGCCAAGUAAAAAGCACGGUGGUUGGGUACAUCUAUACUUGUCCACAGUGARAAACAGGAGCAGCAGAGCAACUCGUCUUUGUGCAGCCAAAGAUAAGGAYGGGGUCGACUCCCCCCAUAAGAGCCUUCCACAGGAAAGCCGGGCGUCCAGGAAACCUGGGUUUUCCCCAAUCAAAAGUUCCAUUAACCUGGAGCACUGGGAGCUAAUUGAGAGCGAGAGAGGGUGAGAUGCAUCACCGUGUCAUUUCAGCCACACGGCUCGAMGUCUGACAUAUUUGUAAUUAUCUGGGAUAAUAAGAAACGAGAUGUGGCAACAAAACAACCCAGCUGAGCGGGAARAGCUUGGGCUGGAAGUGGACUCCUCCAGAAAAAGACAAUGAGCAGGAAGAUUCUUCCAACCUUUGAUAACCCAGAUCAUGUUUUAAGCAUUAGCAGAUGCGUAAGUAGAGCUUUUCAUAACAGGGCAGAGAAGAUCCACAAAUCUGCAUUACUGUUUUGAAGCUUUAUGAAUCUCAACUUCACACAUGCUCUUUGGUGGCGGGAGAUCACAAGUUCAUUAUGUUUUGCACCGUUUUCUGAUGCUUCUGAUGCUUCUGUCUCUCUUAUCUCCUUCAGAGGGUGAAAGAUAUUCUAAUCUGUCGCCCCAAUAGCCUUAAGCCCUGGUACGGAGAGUGGGCCAACUUUUGUUCCGCAUAAUCCCUCCACCCCAGCGAGGGGAGGUCAUGUUUGUCAAAAUGUGGCAACGUGAACAUGAUUUUUUUCUCCUCUUUCCUCCUCCUCCUCCUCCUCCUUCCCUGGCUUAAUUUGGAAUUAAAAAUGCAUGCGAUUUUGAACUUUAGAUCUCUGGAGAGAGCCGUAAACAAGUAUGAAAUGAAGUGUCUUUUGAAAUGCUGCGGUAGGGACGUGAACUGAAUUGAGAGGUUGGCAUUAUUCAGCAGUGGCAGGCUUCAGAAGGGUGGGCGGGUGACCAGAGUAGCCUCUCCAGUCAAMUCACUCAAAAAUGGUCCACACUGAAAAAACAAARAGUGCAGAGAAAGGGAGGAUGCACUGUAUCUCUAUCUAUAAUAUAAUAUAUACGUGUGUGAGUGUUUAUGGUGUAAAACUGUAAAAUUCGUGAGUAAUUGUAUGUGACGUUUUUCACGUUUUGAUGCCAUAUGAUACAACGUAUACAUGUAUGUAUUUUGCAUAUUUCAAGCAACACUAUGAAGCUUAUUGAGCCACAGCGCCCACUCCUGUUGGGCUCUGUGUCCGAGAGAUGAAGUGAUUUUCACGUAGAAAAACCCCCUCAAAGUCUAUCGUUAAUGUGCAGUCCCCCCRUCACUGAAGUGAUUUUACCCAUAAUCCCCCUCCUGAACCAGACAAAUUGCCGCAGCAACAAAUACACCAAACUCUCUAUUCCAAAUCAGUGAACCAUCAAACUAAUAGUAAAGUUGCUGUUUUAAGUGAAAAGUUGCAUAUUGUAGCUUUUAGAAAUGUUUUUAGGUCGUACUAUAUAGAAAUAUAAAUAUAGAUAUAUUUAUAGUGUUUUUUGCAUUUGUACUCAUCCUAUUCAAUUAGUUUUUAUGUCAUACUACACAAUGACAAUUUGAUCUGAUGAGAUUUUUAGGACAUUUUGGACACCAUACUAUACACCAUACUGACAUUUUUAUGUGAUUUUAGAUGCCAUACUAUGAUGUCUUGCACACCAUACUAUACUAUAUAUSUGACAUUUUGGACACUAUACUACUAACCUAUGAUUUUUUUGUUUUGUUUUGUUGUGUCUUCAGGUCACAGAGCUGAACCAGGUGAGGUGCAGUGAGGAUGAGAAGAAUAGAAAUGUGUCUGACCAUCACAUUUCUCGUACAUUUCAUUCUGUAUAAUUAUGUUUUUAUGAAUUGUAUGAUGUACUAGGAUUUUCACCAUAUGUCAAUACACACAAAGUGUCUGUGUGCGUUAAGAGGAGGACCAGAAGUCAUGGAAAGAAAGAAAAAAGGAAGGCAGGUUUGACUUCUACAACCCGAUAAUUCCAGAAGCCAGAAAAGCCUGUCUUCUAAUGUGACUUCAUGACAGUUCAGUCCCCUAAAUCUCACUGUGAUUGUGCUGACACUGUUGACAAUUUGUAUGCAAGUGAAUGAAAGUUUUAUGCCUUAAAAUACAAGAUAAAAAAGUUCAAUGCUU